UGUGGGAGUGAGCUUGCUCGCGAUAGCGGUUUGUCAGUCGACAUAUUCUUGGCUGACACUCCGCCAUCGCGAGCAAGCUCGCUCCCACA
rnacentral:misc_RNA from 1 species